GAGACGAGGUUCUCUUCAGCUUUGAGCAGCCACUUGGUCCCCAGUUGGAGUCACCAACGUGCAGAAGCCCCCCAAACCCUGCUUAGGACAUCCCACUGCAAGACGUAAAUGUCAAAAGCUCACGAGGCUGUUUGUGGCUGACAUCCAUGCCCGCAGGCACCUGCUCAUAGCCUCGUCUUGGCAAAGAUGCCUUCAUUUUUCUUCCCAUGCCACCUCAGCACCGCAGUGCCAGCCGACAACCCCACUCUUCUCUGCGAACAUGCACCAAAAUGCAGCUGUUCAGACCAGGCUGGCUCCUCUCACACACCUGCGCAUAGGAACCCAGGCCUCUCCUGCGCGGUGCAUUCACAUUUGACCUUACGUAAGUAUCUGCAUAAUUAUUGUUGAGUAGAAGUCUUUCCGAAUCGACGAUCCACUGGAAAGGGCUGGAGGCAGAGAUCAUCUCUCACCUACAUGGCCGCCCCUCAGUGACAGUCUGACAAGGCGAUUGGCCCCCGGGGGGUUCCAAAGUUGUAAAGAAUGAGUAGAAUGAAUGAAAUCCUUCAGUACUGGAAGAGGGUGUUUCAUCCGUCCACCCUGCCCUUCAUCCAGGAUGGGGAAUGUAACAAAGCCUCCCCAAGGGAUUACUUUCCUUAAAGUACACACGUCUUUGUGAAGGAAAGGAAACGUCACAAGUGCCAGGACCCUCCGAUAUGAAGCCAGUGCAACUUUCAAAAGGCUCCACUCCAGAUGCACCUGCCCGUGCACCUGCGCGCAGCCAUGCACACGCCCCCUAAGCACCUUCCCGCACGCCCCAGUGUGUGCCCCCUCACCCACGAUGCCCGCACGGCUGAUCGCACAUUCUCCGCGAGGCCUCUUCCUCCUGGGGAGCGGGCAUCAGAGGGGUUAGCCCUGUCUCUCAGGACCCUCCCAUGUUCACUCAUUUGGGGGACACUGGCUUUGGGGAGAUGCUCACAGUUCAGCACACGGGGCCUGUCUUUUCAGCCGUCUUUUAAUCUUUGAUACACUGAACAAACGUGGAGAGCUUGCUGGUGACGAGCAGCUUGGCUCGGACUGCAGGGAUGAAAACCACGUCAGUGGAGUCCCUGGAAGUCCUCCACCGCGCCUGAGGCGCGUAAAGGGAACGCUUGAUCCUGGCUAUCAAAGGGUGCAGGAAGAUCAAGACGAAUUAAAGCCGAUGGUGUGCCAGGAACCACCUGCAACAGGAGGCCAUUACUCCCCUCGUUAAAACAGCCUCAGUUCCGGGGCCUGAUCUGAAGCUUCAUUGAAAUGUUUCAAACAGUGGAUUAUAACGAAGAUGAGACGUUCCCUGUCCAUUGCAUGACCUUUGCUAAGAAAGGCAGAUUGGUAAUAAGGCAAAAAAAAAAAAAAAAAAAAAAAAAAAAAAAAUCUGAGCUGUUGCCUGAAGACAGCCAAGCCCCUUAAUGAUACGAGCUGUGACACCCUCCGUGGGGGGGCCUGUCCAGGAUGCAGAGGCCGCGGGGAGGACCCGCCUGUGGCCGGGGGACCUGCACCUCGUCUGCUUCCCCGUGGCCGUUUCUGCGACCUUCCCUUUUCUAGACAAGAGGGGAGGGACGCGGGGCAGCACCACCUCCGGGGCAAUCAUUGUCCGUUACCCCAAACGUUGCCCUUGCGGUGCAGAGGGUCCGUGGCCCUGUCACGCUUCUUCCGUGAUCUUCCUAUAUCUGACGUGUCUAAUCGCACUGACGCCCUCGGUAGACAAGGAUGCCCGAGCUGCUCGGGGUCUGCGGGGGACGGGGCUCUGGCACGGCCCGACCCCGUUAUCAAUUUUUCUGUAUCCUGAAAAAAAACAUCACGAAGCUGCUGCCCCUUAUGCUUCUCACACGAUAAUAAAUUGCAAGUCAUAUUUGUCCAGAGAUACGAAUGCCUUCUGGCUCUCUUCCCCUUUUUGGGGUGAUUAUCUGCCCUGGCAAUAAAGUCCAUGUCUCGAGUCCUGCCAUUAUCUCCCCUCCAGCUGGCACAUUGUGAAAGUCGCUGUUGGGGGGAUACUGUUGCAGCAGCUGAUAGGAAAGCUUUACAGAAAGUUCUCUAUCUCUUGGCCAUUUCUGCUCUGGACUCACCUGUCCUGUCCUGGCACCUGUGUUCCGUUUCUCACGUGAUGGCUCAGCUGCUUGUCUCUGGGGAGCCUCUAAGGCGGGGCCCAGCCACAUCUGGUCCGCAGCGUCGGCACCUGUUAGGGAUGCAGCAUCUCCAGCCCCAUCCUAGACUUGCCGACCGGAUCUGAAGUGCAUCAAGAUCCCCGGGCGAUUCAGGUGCUCAUCAGGGGCUGACAAGGACCUUGGCAGAGGAGCUAUCCUGGGGCAAAGGCUGCGAGGCUUUGAGGAGCCGCGGUGAGGGUUCCUGGGCACGGCACACCUUUCUAAGGUGAGAUUUAGUCAAGCUGGUGCAGAGUGGGCACCAGUUCUCAUGAGAAAGGGUUAAUUAGUUCUUCAACAGCUGGAGCUAUUUUGCAGUCGAGGACCCACAUAAAAGGACAGCAGGCCGGGCACGGCGGCCAGUCUGCCGGAGCUGCUGGAUGAGAGCCUGGGAGAAAGUGCAGGUCGUGCCUUCCGACGUUACUAAACUUCCGUGCGGCGGCGACGUUGGCUUGAACUUCACUAAACCCUCCAAAGACAAGACGAGCUUGGACCAUCUGGUCCUCUAGGAUGAAGUCAUUUGAUCGGGGACAGGCCGUUACCCACAAUUGCUUGGGAUCGCCAAGGACGGGACCUCCCAGUCGCACCUGCUCCGUUUCCCUUUUGAAAGCGUUUUUUCCACUAAACUUUUCGAGGGGAAAGUUGAACGAGGAGACUUGGUUUUAGUUUCGCGCCUUGCUUUGGGUGCGGACUCCAUCUCAUUUAACCCCAGUGUAACGCCGUCUUCAAAAUUCAGUAUUUCCUCCCCCCGAACACACACGCAUCUGCCUCUAAACACAGCCACCUUACCUUCCUUACCGGCUGCUCUCCUGCUCUCCCUAAAUUCGCCCUUCACGCCUUUCUUCCCGAGUU
rnacentral:lncRNA from 1 species